UUGUGUCUUGUCCUCUUCUUCCUUCUUCUUCUUCUUCCUUCCUUCCUUCCUUCAACAACCACGCAUGAAUGCUCCUGAGAUGUCUCUGUUUCAAAAGAUUUUAAAAAGAAGCACUAGGUAUCUUACUCUUA
rnacentral:ribozyme from 14 species